rnacentral:rRNA from 1 species
GGGAAGAGUGUCUCUGGGCAACGGAACCUUUCGUUGCCAAUGGUGAUGACCUGACCGUCAGGAAGUUCGUAACUCUUCUCUAGUGAAGAAGAAGAUGCGGCUGUUGCCAUUUCCUGCUCGAAGUCAAGAGCGACGUAACAAAGU